GAAACCGUAACCUCUGCUUGAGGUUUUAUGUCUUCAUCUCUUCUUGCUUCCAGGACUGGAACCCAGUCAGACGCUGGCCAUCCUGACAGCAGCGCUGCUGCUGGAACCAACUUCUGCAUAGAUGCUCUGCAGGAGCAGGAUCCCCGCCUGGUAAACGAUCUGGCCGGGACCAGGGCUUAGCAGAGCAUCAAGAACCGCUUCCACAGAGACCUGCCAGAGACCAAGAUCCAGCAGAUCUAGAACAUGAGGCAGAAACAACACAUGCACCAAGGGACCUCUGGAGAAACAUCUCUUCCACCAAGGAGGCCUCAGAGAGCCUCUGCCUUAACGGCUUUGACCCUCCAGUGGCCGGGAUCAACGGACACUCUCACGGGUUUGGCUCCUACUUUGCUACAAACGCAUCAAUGUGGGGACACCAACACGGAAGCAGGCGAGUCGGAGAGGGUCGGCUACACGUUCCUGGCCAAAGUCCUGGUGGGACGAUCUGGCCUGGGAAAAGGUUUCUAGCGCCUACCACCUAAUGUUUGUGAUACCCGUGUUGACGACGAGUGAAACCCUUAGAUGUUUCUAGUGCUGGACAGCUGCUGGUGCCCCCCGUAAUGCCCGAUCAAAUACAAAACAGCUUCGUUCAGAGAUCAAACAUUCACCACUGACGCAAAGUUCUUCCAAACACAGAACCCGUUUCCAUCGCUCUGUUGUUUUCUGUGGCAUGAAAAUGUUGGGUGUGUUCACAUAAAGUAGCGCUGUAGGGCGUUUCAACAAUGACGGUGACAAUAAACGUCUUUGGACACUUGAUUUGUUUUCACAAUGCCUUUAUUUUUUUUUUAAAAGACUGUACAUCCGAAGAAGUGAGCACUUUUCAGUUUUCUUUUCGACUUGGUCAGAAUCCGAUUGAAAUGUUUAUGAAAGUAGAAAUUCAGUCAAGAAGUUCAGUUUCAGCACAUAAUUAAUUACACAACAGGAAAUGAGCAACUGUUAUGUUUUCGCUGGUUUCUAAUAAAGCUUCGUAUCUGUCUGUGUUUCUCAAACAUUUCAGGCUGGAAAGUGUUUCACAAAAACUCCCUUUGCAGAAAAAAAAAAAAA